AUACAAUCACCUCUCUAGGCCCCACUCCUAAACACUGCUCCACUGGGGGAGCUGAAUCUUCCAUACAAGUCUUUGGGGAUGCUUCAUAUCUAAACCAUAACAGAAAAUUCCCCAACCUGUUCCUGAGUUUUCCCUCACAGUUCAACGGUGUUUAAUCUCAAGACAAAUGCACGGGGUUACUGGAAAGAUCACUGGACAGACCAGAAUCUUUCAAGGAAAAGGAGGAAAAGCAACAGAAAUUUCCCCAAGAUGCACAUGGGAAGCAGAAGACCGUGGGCCUGACAGAUCACUCACAUGCUGGCCAUUUCGGAGGUGAGAGAACAGAGGGCCACGGGGGAGACAGUCAGAAAACCCGUCAGUCACCGCCGCUCCUCUGUUUCGCAGUCUUCUAAACUGAUGCGGACGUAAUUUCCUGAAUCUGGACUGCUUCCCACUGCUGCAGUCUAUGCAAAAAAGUACACCACGCUGCUUUGCUUUGGCUAUGAGAAUACCAAAUCCAAAUAUUCCUUGUGCUGUUAUGCAACAAAGACAGGUAGAAGCUAAAUCAUUAAAAUGAUUAAACUUUUGUUCAAUUUAAUAAAUGUUAACCUAACAUCACCCUAGUGCUGGGAACAAGUACAGUCCCACAACAGAGGGAGAGAUACAUUUCCAGAGAAUCCCUGGGCCAUGAGUCAUUAGAUGCAUCAGUCCCAGCAGGCAGGAGUGUGAUCUGGAGGGAGAAUUGCCAUGAAAUGGCCCCAACCGUUCUUCUUUAAUUUAAAAAUUUUAAUCUUCUCAAGAUCACACAAUAGGGUAUAAAUAAACUGAGGUUUAAGGUAGUCCACAGAGAUAAACAUGGCAAAAACACAAAUUAGAAAAGGGGCACGGAAAGGAAAGGGAGGGAGAAUAAGGCCAGCACAAACAAGCUCUCUCUGGGUACCCGAUCUCUGCUCUGCACAGUCACAACUUUGGUUCCCAAGAACUGCCCCGACACUGACCUGGGUCUGCAAGUCCUGACUUUUCCCCCAGGGCUUAGCACCGUCUAAAUAAAAGCUACUAGUUCUUCAACAAAGAGUAACCGAGCACCCGAAGCUGUCUGGCCCACGGCCAUCAAACACCACUCACCUGCAGAGGUCACCUGCCCAGCACCCCAAGGAUCCCCAGCACAGGGGAUAACAAAUGGCUCACAAAGAAGACAGGCGAGAUGUUUUACUCCCCUCUAGAAAUUUAAUAAACGUGAUGACGAUAAUAUUAAUUUAAAUUGCUACUUUAAAAACAAAUGAACAAAAAUGUAAGGAAAGGCAUUAUCCAUUCCAUCUAAAAGGUUCUAGUGACUUUGCUCUGCCACUUACACGUGAGCACAAACAGGACUUACCUGUGAGUCCUACACUUCCCCACACAUAAUGAGGAAAUUCAAAGGUGCUGAAUUUAGGAAAUAACGUACUCCUCUUCUGCCUAGGACACUCUUCUACCCUUUCGCAGGGGUCGCUGAGAAACAGCUGAUGACAGCUGCAGCUGCUGGAGGGAGGCCCCGGCUGAAGGAAGCCUUAACUACACCCAAGCAUUAUAAACACAUCUGCAAUUAAUCCUGGCUAGCCUGAAAAUCCCGAAAGGAACACUACGCUCAAGAAAGCACCGUACCUUUUC